CGCCUACGGGAGGCAGCAGUCGAGAAUCAUUCACAAUGGGGGAAACCCUGAUGCAGCGACGCCGCGUGAGUGAAGAAGUAUUUCGGUAUGUAAAGCUCUAUCAGCAGGGAAGAAGAAAGACGGUACCUGACUAAGAAGCCCCGGCUAACUACAUGCCAGCAGCCGCGGGAAUACGUAGGGGACAAGCGUUAUCCGGAUUUACUGGGUGUAAAGGGAGCGUAGACGGCGGUGCAAGUCUGAAGUGAAAGCCCAGGGCGCAACCCUGGGAAUGCUUUGGAUACAGUGGGGCUAGAG
rnacentral:rRNA from 1 species